ACUCUCUCUCUCUCUCCUGCUGCAUUGUGAAGAAACUGCUUGCUUCCCUCUCACCCUCUGCAGUUUCCUGAGGCCUCCCCAGCCAUGCGGAACGGCCAGAUGCAGUGCCUCAUGCCUGUAAUCCCAGCACUUUGGGAGGCUGAGGGAGGAUUGCUUGAGCCUGCUUCCAUAUCGUAAACUGCCUUGGAACCAAUUACCACUACCAGGGAGACAAACUAUUGCUUAGAGGAUGCUGACAGGAGCAGCAUGCCAAAAUUGGAAGAGUGUUGUCUCUCAGCUGGUGCCACGAAUAGGUCUUCAGCAGGCUGUUCCAUUCCACCAUUCUGUCUGGCCCACUGCUUCUUACAAGAUUAAGAUAGCAGAUCCCAUGGGUGUAGCUGUAGACCAAGACCUGGAAUUAACACAUCAGAAGAUUCUAUGAGGAAACCCAUUUAAAAAUAGGAUGCAUUUUUUUCUUUUCUGCACAGGGAGAAAGUUUAAGCUCUCCUCACUAUGAGUUUUCAAGUAUAAAAGACUUUUUCUUCCACGAUUUUGAGAACAACUGAGGACUCUUGUGACCAGGACAACAGGGAAGCUUGCAGCAAGAUAGCUCCAGGUUGGAUUCAUGCUUCGCACCCCAAGGGCUGCCAGCCAGAGAGGAGGAGAAGCAAUCACUCCUGCAGUUUCUGAACACUACACAGACGCCAGGUAGCUUCUUCAGGAGAACAGCCCUCUGAGGAGGCAGGAAGAGGAGGCUUAUCUUUCAGCAGCCGGAGCUGCUGAGAUCUCUGGGCAGAUUAAGCUCUCUCUAAUGGAUGGGCUCCAGCCUGGCACAUUCAGUGGAGAGGGAUCCACUCAUCCAUCAUCAACAUAAUAUGGUCCUCCCUGCACUUCACAGUGUCCUCUUGCUAUUGAAAAGGCUUUUUUGCCUUCUCAAGUUUCUUUGUCAACAGUCUACAGGAAGAAGCUCAGGCCGCCACCGGCAGAGGUGAAUGCAAGCUCACGUUUUAUUUCUGACUGCUUAAUCAUUGCCUCGAUCACUGCUCAAGCUCUGCCUUUGUUUCCAAAGGUUACCUGUGGGAAAACUUCUUUUUCUAUGCUGAAAUUAAUAGGGAGGCAAAGAUGAGUCCACUGAUAAGCAGAGCCUUAAAACUCACAUAGAGAAACAACUUUGCUGGAGUGUGUGUGAGUGAACCACUAAGGAAUCAGAUAGUGUGAUGGCAGUUAUCAUUGCAGGUUAAGACAUUUCUACAAAUAUUUCGACAUCUCCAUAUACUCACUCCUUUCCCCCCUGAGUGGAGAGACUCAGCUACCAAGAGAGGAAGCUCAAAAAAAACAGAAGCUUCAAACAAACAACCAACCAAAAAAAAAAAAAAACUGUGGGUUCAUCAGAGGUGGUAGGGAAGACAAAAACAUGGGAGGAGCAGCUGGGCACGGUGGCUCAAGCCUGUAAUCCCAGCACUUUGCGAGGCUGAGGUGGGUGGAUCACCUGAGGUCAGGAGUUCGAGACCAGCCUGGCCAACAUGGUGAAACCCCAUCUCUACUAAAAAUACAAAAAAUUAGCCGGGCGUUGUGGUACGCACCUGUAAUCCCAGCUACUCCGGAGGCUGAGGCAGCAGAAUCGCUUGAACCCAGGAGGCAGAGGUUGCAACGAGCCAAGAUCGCACCAUUGCACUCCAGCCUGGGCAACAAGAGCGAAACUCCAUCUAAAAAAAACAAACAAGCAAACAAACAAAAAACACGGGAGGAGCAAUAAAAAGGAAUCCAUGCUUUGAUUUUUUUUUUUAGUGAGAGGAAGGGAAGGCUGCUGCCUCUCACUUCUCCCUGUUUUGUUGUUCUUUUAAGUAGCAUGUGUCACUCUGGGGUCUUGCUCUGUCACCCAGGCUGGAGUGCAGUGACACAAUGCUGGCUCAACCUCCUGGGCUCAAGAGAUCCUUCCACCUCGGCCUCCUGAGUAGCUGGGAUCACACAGGCACUACCACUUCCUCCCACAUCCCAGCGAUGUGCACAUUAGGAGAACUGGUGUGUCUACAUGGUCCCAGUCGGAGCGAGCGUGGGUGUGGAACCUUCCACUGGCCACUCAGCGAAAGGCAGCUGAUUCAGCACCUGGAGAAGACCGGCAACAGGGCUGAGUUUCCUUGCACUGCAGAGGAGGGGAGAGGCAAGGAGUGGACAUGAGCACGGAGGAUCCAGGGCACUCCCUUGAUGGUGAUGCCCUCGAAGGGCUGCCCCGUGCCCAUUGUACAGAAUGUGGAUUCCACCCCACGCCAUGAGAGCUCUCGCGCAGGCCCAGACCACUUUAUAAGCCAUAUUUCCGAAUCAAGCCCAAGUUUUCCCUAUGGAUGA
rnacentral:lncRNA from 1 species